rnacentral:rRNA from 1 species
AUUGAACGCUGGCGGCAGGCUUAACACAUGCAAGUCGAGCGGAGCGAGGGUGCUUGCACCUUAGCUUAGCGGCGGACGGGUGAGUAAUGCUUAGGAAUCUGCCUAUUAGUGGGGGACAACAUUCCGAAAGGAAUGCUAAUACCGCAUACGCCCUACGGGGGAAAGCAGGGGAUCUUCGGACCUUGCGCUAAUAGAUGAGCCUAAGUCGGAUUAGCUAGUUGGUGGGGUAAAGGCCUACCAAGGCAACGAUCUGUAGCGGGUCUGAGAGGAUGAUCCGCCACACUGGGACUGAGACACGGCCCAGACUCCUACGGGGGGCAGCAGUGGGGAAUAUUGGAAAAUGGGCGGAAGCCUGAUCCAGCCAUGCCGCGUGUGUGAAGAAGGCCUUUUGGUUGUAAAGCACUUUAAGCGAGGAGGAGGCUACUAGUACUAAUACUACUGGAUAGUGGACGUUACUCGCAGAAUAAGCACCGGCUAACUCUGUGCCAGCCGCCGCAGUAAUAC